rnacentral:rRNA from 1 species
UACGGAGGUGGCGAGCGUUGUCCGAAGUCACUGGGCGUAAAGCGCGCGUAGGCGGGCUAUUAAGUGAGAGGUGAAAUGCCGAAGCUCAACUUCGGAACUGCCUCUCAUACUGGUAGUCUUGAGGGCGGUAGGGAAAAGUGGAAUGGCUGGUGUAGCGGUGAAAUGCAUAGAUAUCAGUCGGAACACCGGUGGCGAAGGCGGCUUUUUGGGCCGUUCCUGACGCUGAGGCGCGAAAGCCAGGGGAGCGAACGGG